rnacentral:rRNA from 1 species
AUGGAUCGAACUACACACAUGGAUGAAAAUGGGAGUGCGCCUCUCCGUUUUGCUGCAGCUCUGCUACAACAAAGUCCGCGGGGAAGUGUAUGUUGGCAAGUAUUGGAAGCUAACUCAGCUGCAUUGUAUCAAUCAGACUGCAUGGGAUUAUUUCCAAUACACGUUGCUGCUUCUGUUGGUGAAAGAGGGACAAUCACUAUGUUUCUUUAAAAGUCUCCGAGCAGCGGCGGUUUGCAGGACAGCAUGGGAAUGACAUUCCUUCAUGUAGCAGCUGAGAAAAAUAAUGUCAAGAUAGUCAGUUUUGUUUGCAAAAAUUGAUCACUCUCAUGGAUUCUGAAUAUGGAGGACAAUGAUGGGAAUACAGCACUACACCUAGCUAUUCAGGCAGGGAGCCUUCUAAUGUUUCGUGUUUUGUUAAGGAAUCAGAAAGUAAAUUUAAACAUAUCAAAUAAGAAAGGGCAAACAGCUCUAGAUGUAUCACGAUAUAAGAUUCCUCCAGGAUUGUUCAAUGAUCAGAAGAGUGGAACAAAGAUACACUUUGCACUCAAAGUUGUUAAUGCUAGGAGUGGUGGUUGUCGUCGGGAUCAUUUUGAAGAAAAGUACAAUCAGCAGUUGAAGCACAAUGAAAGAGAAGAACUAGAGAAGCUGAAAGUAUCAACACAAACACUAUGUAUUGGUGCAGUUCUAAUUGCAACUGUGACAUUUGGUGCUACUUUCGCCCUUCCUGGAGGUUACUGAGUUGAUGAACAUACUAACGGAGGCACACCAAUACUUGUCGGGAGGUAUGCCUUUGAUGCAUUCAUAAUAGCCAGCACGUUCUCCUUCAUCUUGUUUGCCAUGUCUAUGGUAGGUCUCAUAUAUUCUGGAUACCCUAUUUUUAACCCACACAGUCGCAGAAUUUACCUACUCGUAGCCUUGUAUUUUGGGUCAACAUCUAUCACAUGCUUCACAACGGCUUUUGCAGUAGGUUUGAACAUGGUGCUAGCACCGGUUGCUCACAAGUCUGGCAUUGGUAUCUGUGUUGUUAGCUCUCUCGUUGUUCUUUGCAACAAAACCGAAUUCUGGCUAAGGUGGGCUCUUCUGGCACAACCAUUAUGUAUUCGAAUUGGGCUAAUUCGCACACUGGUUAUGGUAACAACGAGAAUCCUUCUCAACCUGGUUAUGGUAACAGUUCGCAGUCUCAAAUCCAUCAUCAUCCCAUGCACGCUCCCGAUUUAG